AAAAAAAAGAACGCGCAAUUGGCAUACUGUCAUUAACAGAAAGAGGAGUCGGAGAGUGACAUUUGAAUGAAAAAUUGGCGAAAUUGCUC
ensembl:ncRNA Y67D11A.2 ncRNA